rnacentral:rRNA from 1 species
GAGGCUUAACACAUGCAAGUCGAGGGGCAGCAUUUUAUUUUGCUUGCAAACUAAAGAUGGCGACCGGCGCACGGGUGAGUAACACGUAUCCAACCUGCCGAUAACUCGGGGAUAGCCUUUCGAAAGAAAGAUUAAUAUCCGAUAGUAUAUUAAAACCGCGUGGUUUUACUAUUAAAGAAUUUCGGUUAUCGAUGGGGAUGCGUUCCAUUAGUUUGUUGGCGGGGUAACGGCCCACCAAGACUACGAUGGAUAGGGGUUCUGAGAGGAAGGUCCCCCACAUUGGAACUGAGACACGGUCCAAACUCCUACGGGAGGCAGCAGUGAGGAAUAUUGGUCAAUGGACGAGAGUCUGAACCAGCCAAGUAGCGUGAAGGAUGACUGCCCUAUGGGUUGUAAACUUCUUUUAUAUGGGAAUAAAGUAUUCCACGUGUGGAAUUUUGUAUGUACCAUAUGAAUAAGGAUCGGCUAACUCCGUGCCAGCGGCCGCGGUAAUACGGAGGAUCCGAGCGUUAUCCGGAUUUAUUGGGUUUAAAGGGAGCGUAGGUGGAUUGUUAAGUCAGUUGUGAAAGUUUGCGGCUCAACCGUAAAAUUGCAGUUGAAACUGGCAGUCUUGAGUACAGUAGAGGUGGGCGGAAUUCGUGGUGUAGCGGUGAAAUGCUUAGAUAUCACGAAGAACUCCGAUUGCGAAGGCAGCUCACUAGACUGCAACUGACACUGAUGCUCGAAAGUGUGGGUAUCAAACAGGAUUAGAUACCCUGGUAGUCCACACAGUAAACGAUGAAUACUCGCUGUUUGCGAUAUACAGUAAGCGGCCAAGCGAAAGCAUUAAGUAUUCCACCUGGGGAGUACGCCGGCAACGGUGAAACUCAAAGGAAUUGACGGGGGCCCGCACAAGCGGAGGAACAUGUGGUUUAAUUCGAUGAUACGCGAGGAACCUUACCCGGGCUUAAAUUGCAUUUGAAUAAUCUGGAAACAGGUUAGCCGCAAGGCAAAUGUGAAGGUGCUGCAUGGUUGUCGUCAGCUCGUGCCGUGAGGUGUCGGCUUAAGUGCCAUAACGAGCGCAACCCUUAUCUUUAGUUACUAACAGAUGAUGCUGAGGACUCUAGAGAGACUGCCGUCGUAAGAUGUGAGGAAGGUGGGGAUGACGUCAAAUCAGCACGGCCCUUACGUCCGGGGCUACACACGUGUUACAAUGGGGGGUACAGAAGGCAGCUACCUGGCGACAGGAUGCUAAUCCCAAAAACCUCUCUCAGUUCGGAUCGAAGUCUGCAACCCGACUUCGUGAAGCUGGAUUCGCUAGUAAUCGCGCAUCAGCCAUGGCGCGGUGAAUACGUUCCCGGGCCUUGUACACACCGCCCGUCAAGCCAUGAAAGCCGGGGGUACCUGAAGUACGUAACCGCAAGGAGCGUCCUAGGGUAAAACUGGUAAUUGGG